rnacentral:tRNA from 1 species
GCGGGAGUUAAGGAGAGGCCACCUUACCACAUUCCGAGUGUGGGUUAAAUCCGUCAAGAACGGUGUUCGCGGGUUCGAAUCCCGUCUCCCGCUCCA